UAAAUACCACCAAUGACGAGUUUUUAUAGUCCUGUACUUUACUCGUCAUGGCGCCGCCCACUUUUUUCCGUUUUUUAUUCAUUUUGUUCGAAAAAAGUACGAGAUUGAGCUAUACGAAAUUAAGCCGAAUUCCUACGCCUCCACACAUGGGUCCUCCUCACAGAGUUUUGCAAUUGUUUGGAGGCGGUUCGAAAGCAAAUUGAAAUUGAAUCAAGUCUCUCCCCCCACUACUUU
ensembl:ncRNA T25F10.7 ncRNA